rfam:Canis lupus familiaris chromosome X, whole genome shotgun sequence.
GUGCUUGCUUCGGCAGCACAUAUACUAAAAUUGGAAUGAUACAGAAAAGAUUAGCAUGGCCCCUGCGCAAGGAUUACUAGACCAUGACCCUAGAAAAAUAUCAAAACCAA